GACGUAGGGCGCGAGCGUUGUCCGGAUUUAUUGGGCGUAAAGAGCUCGUAGGCGGCUUUGUCGCGUCGAACCGUGAAAACUUGGGGCUCAACCCCAAGCCUGCGGUCGAUACGGGCAGGCUCGAGUUCGGUAGGGGAGACUGGAAUUCCUGGUGUAGCGGUGAAAUGCGCAGAUAUCAGGAGGAACACCGAUGGCGAAGGCAGGUCUCUGGGCCGAUACUGACGCUGAGGAGCGAAAGCGUGGGGAGCGAACAGG
rnacentral:rRNA from 1 species